rnacentral:rRNA from 1 species
UACGAAGGGGGCUAGCGUUGCUCGGAAUCACUGGGCGUAAAGCGCACGUAGGCGGACUCUUAAGUCGGGGGUGAAAUCCCGAGGCUCAACCUCGGAACUGCCUUCGAUACUGGAAGUCUUGAGUCCGGGAGAGGUGAGUGGAACUCCGAGUGUAGAGGUGAAAUUCGUAGAUAUUCGGAAGAACACCAGUGGCGAAGGCGGCUCACUGGCCCGGUACUGACGCUGAGAUACGAAAGCGUGGGGAGCAAACAGG